UGGGGAAUAUUGGACAAUGGGGGCAACCCUGAUCCAGCCAUGCCGCGUGCGUGAAGAAGGCCUUAGGGUUGUAAAGCGCUUUCACGGUCGAGGAUAAUGACGGUAGACCGAGAAGAAGCCCCGGCUAACUCCGUGCCAGCAGCCGCGGUAAUACGGAGGGGGCGAGCGUUGUUCGGAAUUACUGGGCGUAAAGCGCGCGUAGGCGGAUAGUCUAGUCAGAGGUGAAAUCCCGGGGCUCAACCCCGGAACUGCCUUUGAUACUGGCUGUCUAGAGUUCGGGAGAGGCAAGUGGAAUUCCUAGUGUAGAGGUGAAAUUCGUAGAUAUUAGGAAGAACACCAGUGGCGAAGGCGGCUUGCUGGACCGAUACUGACGCUGAGGUGCGAAAGCGUGGGGAGCAAACAGGAUUAGAUACCCCCGUAGUCC
rnacentral:rRNA from 1 species